rnacentral:rRNA from 1 species
GAUGAACGCUGGCGGCGUGCCUAAUACAUGCAAGUCGAACGCGCGGAUCAGGAGCUUGCUCCUGUGACGCGAGUGGCGGACGGGUGAGUAACACGUAGGCAACCUGCCCAUCAGACUGGGAUAACCACGGGAAACCGUGGCUAAUACCGGAUAAUCCUUUUCCACACAAGUGGGGAAGUUGAAAGGCGGUCUUUUGGCUGUCACUGAUGGAUGGGCCUGCGGCGCAUUAGCUGGUUGGUGGGGUAAUGGCCCACCAAGGCGACGAUGCGUAGCCGACCUGAGAGGGUGAUCGGCCACACUGGGACUGAGACACGGCCCAGACUCCUACGGGAGGCAGCAGUAGGGAAUCUUCCGCAAUGGACGAAAGUCUGACGGAGCAACGCCGCGUGAGUGAAGAAGGGUUUCGGCUCGUAAAACUCUGUUGUCAGGGAAGAACGCCGACGGGAGUAACUGCCCGUCGGGUGACGGUAC